AUUGCCCCAGUAACGGCGAGUGAAGCGGCAACAGCUCAAAUUUGAAAUCUGGCCCCUAGGGCCCGAGUUGUAAUUUGCAGAGGAUGCUUUUGGCAAGGCGCCGCCCGAGUUCCCUGGAACGGGACGCCGCAGAGGGUGAGAGCCCCGUCUGGCUGGACGCCGAGCCUUUGUAAAGCUCCUUCGACGAGUCGAGUAGUUUGGGAAUGCUGCUCUAAAUGGGAGGUAUAUGUCUUCUAAAGCUAAAUAUUGGCCAGAGACCGAUAGCGCACAAGUAGAGUGAUCGAAAGAUGAAAAGCACUUUGAAAAGAGGGUUAAACAGUACGUGAAAUUGUUGAAAGGGAAGCGCUCAUGACCAGACUUGGGCUUGGCGGAUCAUCCGGCGUUCUCGCCGGUGCACUUCGCCUCGCCCAGGCCAGCAUCAGUUCGCCCCGGGGGACAAAAGCUUCGGGAAUGUGGCUCCUCCGGGAGUGUUAUAGCCCGUGGCACAAUACCCUGGGGCGGACUGAGGUUCGCGCGUCCGCAAGGAUGCUGGCGUAAUGGUCAUCAGCGACCCGUCUUGAAACACGGACCAAGGAGUCGUCCUCGUAUGCGAGUGUUCGGGUGUCAAACCCCUACGCGUAAUGAAAGUGAACGCAGGUGAGAGCUUCGGCGCAUCAUCGACCGAUCCUGAUGUUCUCGGAUGGAUUUGAGUAAGAGCAUACGGGGCCGGACCCGAAAGAAGGUGAACUAUGCCUGUAUAGGGUGAAGCCAGAGGAAACUCUGGUGGAGGCUCGCAGCGGUUCUGACGUGCAAAUCGAUCGUCAAAUAUGGGCAUGGGGGCGAAAGACUAAUCG
rnacentral:rRNA from 1 species